rnacentral:rRNA from 1 species
AACGAACGCUGGCGGCAUGCCUAACACAUGCAAGUCGAACGAAGGCUUCGGCCUUAGUGGCGCACGGGUGCGUAACGCGUGGGAAUCUGCCCUCUGGUACGGAAUAACUCAGGGAAACUUGAGCUAAUACCGUAUAAUGACUUCGGUCCAAAGAUUUAUCGCCUGAGGAUGAGCCCGCGUAGGAUUAGCUAGUUGGUGAGGUAAAAGCUCACCAAGGCGACGAUCCUUAGCUGGUCUGAGAGGAUGAUCAGCCACACUGGGACUGAGACACGGCCCAGACUCCUACGGGAGGCAGCAGUGGGGAAUAUUGGACAAUGGGCGAAAGCCUGAUCCAGCAAUGCCGCGUGAGUGAUGAAGGCCUUAGGGUUGUAAAGCUCUUUUACCCGGGAUGAUAAUGACGGUAACCGGAGAAGAAGCCCCGGCUAACUUCGUGCCAGCCGCCGCCGUAACAC